CUACGGACUUGAUUGGAUUGAGCCUUGGUAUGGAAACCUGCUAAGUGGUAACUUCAAAAUUCAGAGAAACCCUGGAAUUCAAAAUGGGCAAUCCUGGGCCAAAUCUUUAUUUUGGGGGUAUAAAACUUUAAUAAAAAGGGAUAGGUGCAGAGACUCAAUGGAAGCUGUUCUAACGAAUAGAGUUGACUACGUUGCGUCAGUAGCUGGAAUCCCUCUAUCGAAAUUCGAGAAAGGAUGGCCAUAUAUACCUAAUACGUACGUAUACAUUAUGACAUAUCAAACGAUUAAUCACGACACGAAUCCAUAUCGUAUAAUAUAAAUAUAUUAUUAAUGUUUAUUAUAACAUUAUGAAUGAUUAUGAAAUCAUGAAAUAUGAAAUGAAAUUCGGAAAAAAUUAAGAGUUAUUGUGAAUCCAUUCCAAUCCAACAAAAAUAGAAUAUUCAGUAAUAAAAUCAUUCAUUCCAGAGUUUGAUAGAUCUUUUGAAAAAUUGAUUAAUCGGACGAGAAUAAAGAGAGAGUCCCAUUCUACAUGUCAAUACCGA
rnacentral:ncRNA from 1 species